rnacentral:tRNA from 1 species
GGGGCUGUAGCUCAGCUGGGAGAGCGCUUGCUCGGCAUGCAAGAGGUCACGAGUUCGAAUCUCGUCAGCUCCACCA